rnacentral:misc_RNA from 1 species
UCCAACUUAACGUUGGCAGUCUCUUUAGAGUGCCCAACUUAAUGCUGGCAACUAAAGAUAAGGGUUGCGCUCGUUGCGGGACUUAACCCAACAUCUCACGACACGAGCUGACGACAGCCAUGCAGCACCUGUCUCUCUGUCCCUUUCGGGCCUUCCGUAUCUCUACGGCGUUCAGAGGAUGCCAAACCCAGGUAAGGUUUUUCGCGUUGCAUCGAAUUAAACCACAUUCUCCACCGCUUGUGCGGGCCCCCGUCAAUUUCUUUGAGUUUUAAUCUUGCGACCGUACUCCCCAGGCGGGAUACUUAACGCGUUAGCUCCGGCACUGAAGGGGUCAAUACCUUCAACACCAAGUAUCCAUCGUUUACAGCGUGGACUAC